rnacentral:lncRNA from 1 species
UGGUGGUUGUAGAGCCCAAAUGCGUUGUGUUUUACAAAAUUGAAUCUGCCUUUUGAGAUGAGUUUUGACACGUUGAAGUGGUUUAAGAAUGUUCAGGAGGAACGGUCUAAGUAUGGUACUCAUGAUUAAAAAUGAUAAGAGAAAACUUAAUAGUUUAAACAAACACACUUAUGCAAAAAUAAUUUCAAUUAGCAAAAGAAUAAUAAAAAGAAAGAAAGAAAAAUCAAAUCAACGAAAAGAAAAAACAAAUCAAUUCAAAUCUGGUGGGUCACUCAAAUUUAUUUCGGUGUCUUCGCUAUGUGGUUGGUAUUCUAGAUAUAGCUUUAAUCUUUGACCAUUAACUUUAAACGUGACACCGUUCUUUGGGUCCUUAAUUUCAAUUACCCCAUGUGGAAAAACAGUAUGAACAAUAAAGGGACCAG